rnacentral:rRNA from 1 species
UACGGGGGGAGCAAGCGUUGUUCGGAUUUACUGGGCGUAAAGGGCGCGUAGGCGGCCAGUGCAAGUCAGUUGUGAAAUCUCCGAGCUUAACUCGGAAAGGUCAACUGAUACUGCUCGGCUAGAGUCCGGAAGAGGCGAGUGGAAUUCCUGGUGUAGCGGUGAAAUGCGCAGAUAUCAGGAGGAACACCGAUGGCGAAGGCAGCUCGCUGGGACGGUACUGACGCUGAGGCGCGAAAGCGUGGGGAGCAAACAGG